UGGGGAAUAUUGGACAAUGGGCGCAAGCCUGAUCCAGCCAUGCCGCGUGAGUGAUGAAGGCCCUAGGGUUGUAAAGCUCUUUCACCGGUGAAGAUAAUGACGGUAACCGGAGAAGAAGCCCCGGCUAACUUCGUGCCAGCAGCCGCGGUAAUACGAAGUGGGCUAGCGUUGUUCGGAUUUACUGGGCGUAAAGCGCACGUAGGCGGACUUUUAAGUCAGGGGUGAAAUCCCGGGGCUCAACCCCGGAACUGCCUUUGAUACUGGAAGUCUUGAGUAUGGUAGAGGUGAGUGGAAUUCCGAGUGUAGAGGUGAAAUUCGUAGAUAUUCGGAGGAACACCAGUGGCGAAGGCGGCUCACUGGACCAUUACUGACGCUGAGGUGCGAAAGCGUGGGGAGCAAACAGG
rnacentral:rRNA from 1 species